rnacentral:rRNA from 1 species
AGAGUNNGCNCCGGGCUCAGAUUGAACGGGGGCCGCAGGCCUAACACACNCAAGUCGGGCGGUAGCACAGAGAGCUUGUUCUUGGGUGACGAGUGGCGGACGGGUGAGUAAUGUCUGGGGAUCUGCCCGAUAGAGGGGGAUAACCACUGGAAACGGUGGCUAAUACCGCAUAACGUCGCAAGACCAAAGAGGGGGACCUUCGGGCCUCUCACUAUCGGAUGAACCCAGAUGGGAUUAGCUAGUAGGCGGGGUAAUGGCCCACCUAGGCGACGAUCCCUAGCUGGUCUGAGAGGAUGACCAGCCACACUGGAACUGAGACACGGUCCAGACUCCUACGGGAGGCAGCAGUGGGGAAUAUUGCACAAUGGGCGCAAGCCUGAUGCAGCCAUGCCGCGUGUAUGAAGAAGGCCUUCGGGUUGUAAAGUACUUUCAGCGGGGAGGAAGGCGAUGNGGUUAAUAACCGCGUCGAUUGACGUUACCCGCAGAAGAAGCACCGGCUAACUCCGUGCCAGCAGCCGCGGUAAUACGGAGGGUGCAAGCGUUAAUCGGAAUUACUGGGCGUAAAGCGCACGCAGGCGGUCUGUUAAGUCAGAUGUGAAAUCCCCGGGCUUAACCUGGGAACUGCAUUUGAAACUGGCAGGCUUGAGUCUUGUAGAGGGGGGUAGAAUUCCAGGUGUAGCGGUGAAAUGCGUAGAGAUCUGGAGGAAUACCGGUGGCGAAGGCGGCCNCCNNGACGAAAGA